GACGAACGCUGGCGGCGUGCCUAAUACAUGCAAGUCGAGCGCAGGAAGCCGUCUGAACCCUUCGGGGGGACGACGGUGGAAUGAGCGGCGGACGGGUGAGUAACACGUAAAGAACCUGCCCAUAGGUCUGGGAUAACCACGAGAAAUCGGGGCUAAUACCGGAUGUGUCAUCGGACCGCAUGGUCCGCUGAUGAAAGGCGCUCCGGCGUCGCCCAUGGAUGGCUUUGCGGUGCAUUAGCUAGUUGGUGGGGUAACGGCCCACCAAGGCGACGAUGCAUAGCCGACCUGAGAGGGUGAUCGGCCACACUGGGACUGAGACACGGCCCAGACUCCUACGGGAGGCAGCAGUAGGGAAUCUUCCACAAUGGACGAAAGUCUGAUGGAGCAACGCCGCGUGAACGAUGAAGGCUUUCGGGUCGUAAAGUUCUGUUGUAAGGGAAGAACAAGUGCCGCAGGCAAUGGCGGCACCUUGACGGUACCUUGCGAGAAAGCCACGGCUAACUACGUGCCAGCCGCCGCCGUAACAC
rnacentral:rRNA from 1 species